rnacentral:rRNA from 1 species
CCCGCACAAGCGGUGGAGCAUGUGGUUUAAUUCGAAGCAACGCGAAGAACCUUACCAGGUCUUGACAUCCCGCUGACCGCCUAGGAGACUAGGCUUUCCCUUCGGGGACAGCGGUGACAGGUGGUGCAUGGUUGUCGUCAGCUCGUGUCGUGAGAUGUUGGGUUAAGUCCCCGCAACGAGCGCAACCCUUGAUCUUAGUUGCCAGCAUUCAGUUGGGCACUCUAAGGUGACUGCCGGUGACAAACCGGAGGAAGGUGGGGAUGACGUCAAAUCAUCGUGCCCCUUGUGACCUGGGCUACACACGUGCUACAAUGGACGGUACAAAGGGCUGCAAACCCGCGAGGGGGAGCCAAUCCCAUAAAGCCAGUCGUAGUCCGGAUCGUAGUCUGCAACUCGACUACGUGAGGUCGGAAUCGCUAGUAAUCGUGGAUCAGAAUGUCACGGUGAAUACGUUCCCGGGUCUU